AAUUCGAGUUCCGUGUCCAUCGACUGCAAGUCCUCUCAUGCGUCGCAAGUUUCCUCGCGCUUCCUUUUCUCUCCCCCACCCCCUUCCGCGAUUUACUGUUUCUUCGCGCCCAAUAGAAAUGGGCGACCGCAAGUCUCACUCUCGCCGGCGUUACAAAGAAAGGAAGGAGGAGACCUGAACAGUACAUCCAGAGAAUCCAGCAAAGCAUACCACGGCAUGAAUGUGCAAGUGGAUAGAAUUAAAACACAUGCCAGAAACACUAAUGGAUUCUAAACAAGAUGCGGUUUCAUUUCCUGAGCCUAUACGUGAUAUUUUUAACUGUUCUCCAGUUAAUAUGUCUCCAUUUCCAGAAAUCUAACAGGAGAAUCUCUGACUGCUUAACAGAUCACCUAA
rnacentral:antisense_RNA from 1 species